GGAGUUCUGUUGCGGAAAACUGGUCCGUCUAUCGGGCGGUAUUUAGAUUUUGCGUUUCAUCUUCUUGAGAAGCUUUGCUGUGCUUGAUUGCAUGGUGUGGGAAUCAGGACAUUUACUUUGAGGAAUUUAGAGUGUUUCAAGCAGGUUUGUGCUGAAAUAGCCUAGCAUGGAAUAAUAACAUGGGGUCUUGGUCUUGUUUGUUGGUUUCUAAGCUGAGGAAACAAUCAAUAGGGAUAGCUGGGGGCAUUUGUACUUAACUGUCAGAGGUGAAAUUCUUGGAUUUGUUAAAGACAAACUACUGCGAAAGCAUUUGUCAAGGAUGUUUUCAUUGAUCAAGUACGAAAGUUAAGGGAUCGAAGACGAUCAGAUACCGUCCUAGUCUUAACCAUAAACAAUGCCAUCUAGAGAUUGGAGGUAGUGCCAAGGAUUACUUUUUCAGCAUCAUUUGAGAAAUCAAAGCUUUUGGGUUCCGGGGGGAGUAUGGUCGCAAGGCUGAAACUUAAAGGAAUUGACGGAAGGGCACCACCAGGAGUGGAGCCUGCGGCUUAAUUUGACUCAACACGGGAAACUCACCAGAACCAGACAUAAACAGGAUUGACAGAUUGAUAGCUCUUUCUUGAUUUUAUGGGUGGUGGUGCAUGGCCGUUCUUAGUUGGUGGAGUGAUCUGUCUGGUUAAUUCCGUUAACGAACGAGACCUUGUCUUACUAAAUAGUUACAUGUAACUUUGGUUACAUGGGCAGCUUCUUAGUGGGGACUUUGCGAGCCUACUG
rnacentral:rRNA from 1 species